GUAGAGGUAUGGUAAACACAGGUAUGUAGAGGUAUGGUAAACACAGGUAUGUAGAGGUAUGGUAAACACAGGUAUGGUAAACACAGGUAUGGUAAACACAGGUAUGUAGAGGUAUGGUAAACACAGGUAUGUAGAGGGACUCCGGUUGCCA